rnacentral:rRNA from 1 species
CGAAAGCCUGACGGAGCAAUACCGCGUGAGGGAGGAAGGCUCUUGGGUCGUAAACCUCUUUUCUCAGGGAAGAACACAAUGACGGUACCUGAGGAAUAAGCAUCGGCUAACUCCGUGCCAGCAGCCGCGGUAAUACGGAGGAUGCAAGCGUUAUCCGGAAUUAUUGGGCGUAAAGAGUCCGUAGGUGGAAGUUCAAGUCUGUCGUUAAAGAAUGGAGCUUAACUCCAUAGAGGCGGUGGAAACUGAACAACUAGAGUGCGGUAGGGGUAACGGGAAUUCCCAGUGUAGCGGUGAAAUGCGUAGAUAUUGGGAAGAACAUCGGUGGCGAAAGCGCGUUACUGGGCCGAAACUGACACUGAGGGACGAAAGCUAGGGUAGCG